rnacentral:rRNA from 1 species
AAUGAACGUUGGCGGCGUGGAUUAGGCAUGCGAGUCGUGCGAGAAUCGUAGCAAUACGAGGACAGCGGCGUAAGGGAGAGGAAUAAGUAGAAAUCUACCCUCGGGUCGGGGAUAGCGGCGGGAAACUGCCGGUAAUACCCGAUAACGUCUUUGGACCAAAGGUGUGAUUCCGUCUGAGGAUGAGUCUACUUCCUAUUAGCUAGUUGGCGGGGUAAUGGCCCACCAAGGCGACGAUGGGUAGCAGGUGUGAGAGCAUGACCUGCCUCAUUGGGACUGAGACACUGCCCAGACACCUACGGGUGGCUGCAGUCGAGAAUCUUCGGCAAUGGACGAAAGUCUGACCGAGCGACGCCGCGUGCGGGAUGAAGGCCUUCGGGUUGUAAACCGCUGUCGUAGGGGAACAAAUGUAUGAGGGUACUCCCUUGCAUUUGAGUGAUCCUAGGAGGAAGGAGAGGCUAAGCUCGUGCCAGCAGCCGCAGUAACAC